rnacentral:rRNA from 1 species
CCUAUAAAUUAUAUUUUAUAGUGGGACCUGGUCAGUGAAUGAAUUAAACACACGCCUUAGAGUGAGGGUGAUAAUGUAGCAUAAUAAUUUGGCAUUUAAUUGAUGUCUGGAAUGAAUGGUGAAACGAUUUUAACAUUGUCUCAGCUUUUUACCGAGUGAAAUUACUUAAUUUAUGAAAAUUUAAAUUAAAUUUUAUAAGACGAAAAGACCCCAUAAACCUUAACUAGAAUGUUUCAUAUAAACAAAGAUAGUUUAGCUGGGGUGGCUAUCUCUUAACUAAACAGAGACAAAUAUAACUAAAAUCUUAUAUAUUUUUAAAUAAAUUAUAAAAAAAUAUUUAGAUCUUUUAAAGUUAAUAAUGACCAGUACAAAUAAAAGAAUUUAUAACUAUAAUUAAUAAAAGGUACUUUGGGGAUAACAGCGUUAUUUAGAAAUAAAGAUUGUUAUUUAUUUCUAAGUUUGCGACCUCGAUGUUGAAUUAAGAUCACUUUUAGGCGUAUAAGCUUUAAUAGUUGGACUGUUCGUCCAUUAAAAU